GGUGGCUUAAAGGUUAGAGCGCCCGCCCCGGAUGCGGGAGGUCGUGGGUUCGAUCCCCGUUAGAGCCA